GUCUACGGCCAUGCCACCCUGAAUGUGCCUGAUCUCGUCUGAUCUCAGAAGCUAAGUUGGUUAGUACUUGGAUGGGAGACCACCUAGGAAUUCCAGGUACCACAGGCA
rnacentral:rRNA from 1 species